rnacentral:rRNA from 1 species
UACGGGGGGUGCGAGCGUUGUCCGGAAUCACUGGGCGUAAAGGGCGCGUAGGUGGCCUGAUAAGGGUGUGGUGAAAGUCCGGGGCUCAACCCCGGAUCGGCCGUGCCGACUGUUAGGCUAGAGUACUGUAGGGGCAGGCGGAAGUUCCGGGUGUAGCGGUGGAAUGCGUAGAGAUCCGGAGGAAGACCGGUGGCGAAGGCGGCCUGCUGGGCGAGUUACUGACACUGAG